rnacentral:rRNA from 1 species
UACGUAGGGGGCAAGCGUUAUCCGGAUUUACUGGGUGUAAAGGGAGCGUAGACGGCACUGCAAGUCUGGAGUGAAAGCCCGAGGCCCAACCACGGGACUGCUCUGGAAACUGCGGGGCUGGAGUGCAGGAGGGGUAAGCGGAAUUCCUAGUGUAGCGGUGAAAUGCGUAGAUAUUAGGAAGAACACCGGUGGCGAAGGCGACUUUCUGGACUGUAACUGACGUUGAGGCACGAAAGUGUGGGGAGCAAACAGG